AUUGAACGCUGGCGGCAUGCCUUACACAUGCAAGUCGAACGGUAACAGGUUAAGCUGACGAGUGGCGAACGGGUGAGUAAUAUAUCGGAACGUGCCCAAUCGUGGGGGAUAACGCAGCGAAAGUUGUGCUAAUACCGCAUAAGAUCUACGGAUGAAAGCGGGGGAUCGCAAGACCUCGCGUGAGUGGAGCGGCCGAUAUCAGAUUAGCUAGUUGGUGGGGUAAAGGCCCACCAAGGCGACGAUCUGUAGCUGGUCUGAGAGGACGACCAGCCACACUGGGACUGAGACACGGCCCAGACUCCUACGGGAGGCAGCAGUGGGGAAUUUUGGACAAUGGGCGCAAGCCUGAUCCAGCAAUGCCGCGUGCAGGAUGAAGGCCUUCGGGUUGUAAACUGCUUUUGUACGGAGCGAAAAAGCUCUCUCUAAUACAGAGGGCUCAUGACGGUACCGUAAGAAUAAGCACCGGCUAACUACGUGCCAGCCGCCGCCGUAA
rnacentral:rRNA from 1 species